GUAGUAGUUCUAUCUAACUGUGCCGCCGAAUUUCCAUUCUUCUUUUUCUAUCUUUCUCCUUCCGUGGUAACAUUUGCGCAUUUUCUCUAUUCUCCGUCAUGUGAGGCAACUCAUCUCCCCAGUUGGCUAGCCUGACGGCAGUAUGUGGGCAACUGCAAUUCUAGCUGUUUGGUGUUUGUCUUUCCAGGAGCUGCGGUCCGUAUUAUGUCCGCGAGGCUCGCAAGUUCCAAGCAAGCACACUGAAUGACAUUUCGUUUGCUUCUGAGCGGUUAACUAUCAAAAUCGAAUUUUGAGGAGCUGAUUUGAUCUUCUGGCUUAAUGUUUCAAGUCGCAAGGCGAAGGCGAUAGAAAACGUAACAUGACGAUUUCGGCAAACCUUAGGCCGGACAUUUCGUGAUCGUUGUGAACGCUAAGCGAACCGCAGCUACGUCAACGCUCUCUUACAAAUGAAGCCCAAAUUGCAAUAUGGGAAAAUAUUGGCGCGCGUCCGGUGAAAGAGUUGUCAAAUGAAGUUCAUUACAGGGACUUGUAUGAAAGAAUUUACAACAGGUCCGAUGCGCAAUGCAUGUCGCGGAAAAUUAAAAUUUGGCCAUACGAGACUGAUGGAAGUUUGUACACACUACACGUCAUUCCCAAUUUGGUGGCACUUUUCGUUUUAACCAAUUAAUUAAGUAAUUAAUUUGAAUGAAUUCGUUUUGAGUACUGCGAGAGGCAGUAUUCGAGUUGCAAGUGCUAAUUAUUAAUGCCACUUUCAUUAGUUUCGUCAUAAAUAUUGAAUUCAAGUUGCGGGGUCGAAAUUUUUCUUCUAACAUUAUAUAUUUUUAAUCUUCGCACUCGCUCAUCUAAUAACGCUACAUGCUGCGCUAGGUAGCGUACGCAGGGCGGUUAGUCUUUGCUAGAAGUGGAUCCCAAUAAGCCCACCACACCAGUUUUGCACAUUUUAUUGUUAAUUUGAAGUCCUAAAUAUUUUUUUUUCAUUAAUUUAAAACAAAAAUGCCUCAAAAUCUAAAUGCCCACGCAGUAUUAGUAUUUCUGCAAAGUAGGUGUGAUUUCGAGAGCGAUAAUGUCCUCGCUAAAAGGUUUAUCAUUAGGUUAUGUGACGAUGAACUUAUUACUGAAUAGAGAAGUGGAGAAUAGAAGUUCGCUGGGAGACGGUGUAACAUAAUUAUCCAACAAGCUCUGGGCAAAAGGAAACACCUGAUGUCGGUUUAAGGUAUCUUUAAGGCAAGAAUCGAUGCAAAUGGUUAGUUUUGUUAAAAAAAAUAAUUUAGCAAAACCUAUGAAAUGCAAUUAGUGCAAUAUAUCAAUACUGAUGUAUAGAUUUGCUGACACCGUUUGUUCACGAAAAAUAUCGAAUGCUCAGUAAUCUUUCAGGGAUUUAAAAAAAAAUAGAAAACUCUUUGGUGCACACGAAACAUCCCGAAGUCUUUACAGGAGUGAAAAUGCAAGUGUGGGCGUUGUGGAAAAAUAUGAAAGCAAAUAAGAUCAUUACUAUCGGAAAAAGGACAAAAUGUUGCAAAUAUAUUUGUAAAAAUCAUUUAGUAACCACGGUGAUGUAUUUUAAAUGUCAAAUAUAAGUAGUUGUAACAAUA
rnacentral:lncRNA from 1 species